rnacentral:tRNA from 1 species
GCCUGGAUAGCUCAGCUGGUUAAGCAUCUGACUUCAGCUCAGGCCAUAAUCUCCCGGUCUGUGGGUUCGAGCCCCAUGUCGGGCU